rnacentral:lncRNA from 1 species
GAAAAGCUAGAUUAAUUGGUGGAAAGUUGUUCAAACGGUAGAAAAUGGAAAGUAAUCGGUGAAAUUUGAAGGAAAGUGGAAAAAUGAGGAGGAAACCUUAGGUUUGAGGUUCUGUGAUGGUGAAGAAGUGAAGAAAAUGGAAGAAGAAUGGCUUCCGAUGAGGGACAGAGGCUGGCGACGAGGAGCUCAAGAGAGAAAUCUAAGCUCUCUGAUGUGAAACGCGAAGGAUGAAAAUGUGAAAUGAAGAUGAAAUGUGGCUGAGGUGCAAAAUGAUGAAGGUUGACGCUGAUGUGAAGGAAGACGCGUGGCUAGGAAACACUGACUGAUAUGAAGUGGUGUCAGCGAAGGGGUGGACCAUGGAGGAUAAGUGAGAGAGCACGGUGGAGAAUUGGAAAAGUGGAAAAUGAAAAUAGGAAGUGUGCUUUGGAAGGUAGCUAGAGGUCUUUGGACUCUCGAACCUUGUGACUUUCAAGAGAGAAUAAUUUUCUUAAUUAGAAAAGUUUAUUCUCAUCAAUCUCAAAAGUACCAAAUACAAGUGAGGAGUUGGGUAUUUAUAGUGACCCAUGCUCCUUGCAAGCUAAACUACUCGUACAAUAAAAUGUAAAAAUACGACUAAGAGAACUGUGUCAAGAAUGAUUCCAACAAUAUCCCUC